rnacentral:tRNA from 1 species
GCCGUGAUCAUAUAGUGGUUAGUACUCUGCGUUGUGGCCACAGCAACCCCAGUUCGAAUCCGGGUCACAGCA